rnacentral:tRNA from 1 species
AAGGGUAUAGCUCAGUGGUAGAGCAUGUGCUUAGCAUGCACGAGAUCCUGGGUUCAAUCCCUAGUACCUCCA